rnacentral:rRNA from 1 species
AGAAUCAACGCUGGCGGCGUGCCUCAGACAUGCAAGUCGAACGCGAAAGUCCCCUUCGGGGGAUGAGUAGAGUGGCGCACGGGUGAGUAACACGUAGGUAAUCUACCUUCGGAUGGGGAAUAACAAUCGGAGACGGUUGCUAAUACCGCAUAAUGCAGCGGCACCUAAUGGUGACAGUUGUUAAAGCGGGGGAUCGAAAGACCUCGCGUCUGAAGAGGAGCCUGCGGCGGAUUAGCUAGUUGGUAAGGUAAUGGCUUACCAAGGCUACGAUCC